rnacentral:lncRNA from 1 species
AACAUUUCAUAAUAAUUCAUGGCUGAGUAUUUAUUGUACUGUCUCCGAGGAUGCAAACUUUGGACAUUGCAUCUAUUGUUUGAAUAUGGAGUUCAUUUUGUCACAGCGACCAAGAGGGCCCCAUGUCGCACAGUUUGAUUGAAUACAGUGGUAAGGAUUUCAGAAAAUAAAAGCAGAAAAUGAAAGCUCACCACGAUCAACUCACAGGUACAUUUGGCUUUAACAGCUGAAUAACUAAACUGAUCUGCAA